GGGCCCGCACAAGCGGUGGAGUAUGUGGUUUAAUUCGAUGCAACGCGAAGAACCUUACCAGGGUUUGACAUCCUGCGAAUCUCCUGGAAACAGGAGAGUGCCUUCGGGAACGCAGUGACAGGUGGUGCAUGGCUGUCGUCAGCUCGUGUCGUGAGAUGUUGGGUUAAGUCCCGCAACGAGCGCAACCCACGUCUUUAGUUGCCAGCGAUUCGGUCGGGAACUAUAAGGGGACUGCCGGUGAUAAACCGGAGGAAGGUGAGGACGACGUCAAGUCAUCAUGCCCCUUACAUCCUGGGCUACACACGUACUACAAUGCUACGGACAAAGGGCUGCAAGUUCGCGAGGACAAGCAAAUCCCAUAAACCGUGGCUCAGUUCAGAUCGUAGGCUGCAACUCGCCUACGUGAAGGCGGAAUCGCUAGUAAUCG
rnacentral:rRNA from 1 species